rnacentral:rRNA from 1 species
GACGAACGCUGGCGGCGUGCUUAACACAUGCAAGUCGAGCGGUAAGGCCCUUUCGGGGGUACACGAGCGGCGAACGGGUGAGUAACACGUGAGUAAUCUGCCCUUCACUUCGGGAUAAGCUUCGGAAACGGGGUCUAAUACCGGAUAUGACAUCUGCCUGCAUGGGCUGGGUGUGGAAAGUUUUUUCGGUGGGGGAUGUGCUCGCGGCCUAUCAGCUUGUUGGUGGGGUAAUGGCCUACCAAGGCUUCGACGGGUAACCGGCCUGAGAGGGUGACCGGUCACACUGGGACUGAGACACGGCCCAGACUCCUACGGGAGGCAGCAGUGGGGAAUAUUGGACAAUGGGCGGAAGCCUGAUCCAGCAACGCCGCGUGAGGGAUGACGGCCUUCGGGUUGUAAACCUCUUUCAUUACCGACGAAGCUCAGUGUUGAUCUGGGUGACGGUAGGUGGAGAAGAAGCACCGGCCAACUACGUGCCAGCAGCCGCCGUAACAC